UGAGGUAAACACAGUUGGAUUUGUGG
rnacentral:piRNA from 1 species